UCUUAUGGAUGAGCAAAGAAAGUGGUUUCUUGAGAUAGAAUCUACACCUGGUGAAGAUGCUGUGAA
rnacentral:pre_miRNA from 1 species